rfam:Triticum aestivum genome assembly, contig: Triticum_aestivum_CS42_TGACv1_scaffold_223356_3B
UUAGUACUCCCUCCGUCCGGAAAUACUUGUCAUUAAAAUGGAUGUAUUUAGAUGUAUUUUAGUUCUAGAUACAUCCAUUGUUCAUUCAUUUUGCUGACAAGUAUUUUUGGACGGAGGGAGUAACAG